rnacentral:rRNA from 1 species
AUUGAACGCUGGCGGCAGGCCUAACACAUGCAAGUCGAACGAGUGGCGGACGGGUGAGUAAUGUCUGGGAAACUGCCCGAUGGAGGGGGAUAACUACUGGAAACGGUAGCUAAUAACGCAUACCAUCGGAUGUGCCCAGAUGGGAUUGGCUAGUAGGUGGGGUAACGGCUAACCUAGGCGACGAUCCCUAGCUGGUCUGAGAGGAUGACGAGCAACAUGGGAACGGAGACACGGUCCAGACUCCUACGGGAGGCAGCGGUGGGGAUUAUUGCACAUGGGGCGCAAUCCUGAUGCAGCCAUGCCGCGUGUAUGAAGAAGGCCUUCGGGUUGUAAAGUAUUUUCAGCGAGGAGGCGUUACUCGCAGAAGAAGCACCGGCUAACUCCGUGCCAGCAGCCGCGGUAAUUC